GGUGGCUGGAGGAUCAGGGCACCCAUGGGUGGCCCUAUGGGGUGGCUGCAUGGUCGACAAAGGCAUGAGUGACUCUAUAGGGUGCUUGUAGGGUCACGGCACCCAUGGGUGGCCCUAUGGGGUGGCUGGAGGGUCAGGGCACCCAUGGGUGGCCCUAUGGGGUGGCUGGAGGGUCAGGGCACCCAUGGGUGGCCCUAUGGGUGGCUGGAGGAUCAGGGCACCCAUGGGUGGCCCUAUGGGGUGGCUGCAUGGUCGACAAAGGCAUGAGUGACUCUAUAGGGUGCUUGUAGGGUCACGGCACCCAUGGGUGGCCCUAUGGGGUGGCUGGAGGGUCAGGGCACCCAUGGGUGGCCCUAUGGGGUGGCUGGAGGGUCAGGGCACCCAUGGGUGGCCCUAUGGAGUGGCUGGAGGGUCAGGGCACCCAUGGGUGCCUCUAUGGGGUGGCUGCAGGGUCGACAAAGGCAUGAGUGGCUCUAUGGGGUGCUUGUAGGGUCACGGCACCCAUGGGUGGCCCUAUGGGUGGCUGGAGGAUCAGGGCACCCAUGGGUGGCCCUAUGGGGUGGCUGCAGGGGCACAGCACCCAUGGGUGGCCCUAUGGGGUGGCUGGAGGGUCAGGGCACCCAUGGGUGGCCCUAUGGGGUGGCUGGAGGGUCAGGGCACCCAUGGGUGGCCCUAUGGGGUGGCUGGAGGGUCAGGGCACCCAUGGGUGGCCCUAUGGGUGGCUGGAGGGUCAGGGCACCCAUGGGUGGCCCUAUGGGUGGCUGGAGGGUCAGGGCACCCAUGGGUGGCCCUAUGGGUGGCUGGAGGGUCAGGGCACCCAUGGGUGGCCCUAUGGGUGGCUGGAGGGUCAUUUCCUCCAUGGGAGCCCCUAUAGGGUGUCUAUGUGUGCCCCCACCCAUGGGUGCCCUGAUGACCCCC